UAUCAUCUACAAACCCGUUUCUUUCUUCUCUCUCACUUUAUCUAUCAUCUCACCGAUCACCCACACCUUUUCUCUCUGAUCACCGGCAACCGCACACCCCAAAUCCCUCAUCUCAUCGAUCACCCACACUUAUCUAUCUAUCAGGGUGAAGUUGGUGUGAAGAAGAGGAAGGAGAUGGUUGUUUUGGAUAUGAAUACGGUUCCUAAUGAGGGGGAGUAAGUGGUUAUACGGCGGCGCGUGAUGUUUGUUUUGGAUCUGAAUACGGAUCUGAAUUGUUCUAACAGGUCUGUAGAUACAGUGAGAGAGAAGAGAGAGAGGUCAGGUCGCCGGAGCCUGAGGAGCUCAGGUCGCCGAAGCCGGAGGAGAGACAGGUGAUGGUGAGUUUUUGCUGUCAAGAAUCACAACGGAUUAAAGAAUGAAGAAUCAACAAUGGUGUCAUGAAAUCAAGACAGAAAAAGAAUCAGAUGCUUGAUGAGGUAAUUGUUGCACCGAAUCAAGAAGACAAGGGUGAAAAUGUUGAAAAGAAUGUGAUAACGAGGUCGUUGUGUGUAGAUGUUGCGGUGCGGAUGGUGGUCGUGCAGUGGGGGUUGAGAAGAGGUGGAGGUUGUCUUUCUGGUGGGGCGGUGGCGGGUGGAGGAGUGGUGGCGGCUGCAGAUCAGGUUAGGAGGGUUUGGGAGGGUCUGAAGUAGAUGAUGGUGUGCCAGAGGUGGGUGAGUGAAGAAGAUGAUGGUCUACAUCUUUUGUUUAAUUUAAUUUAGUUAAUAUGUUAUAUUAAAAUUAAAUGACCAAAAUACCCCUGAAUAAAAAGACAAAAUA